GACGAACGCUGGCGGCGUGCUUAACACAUGCAAGUCGAACGGAAAGGCCCUGCUUUUGUGGGGUGCUCGAGUGGCGAACGGGUGAGUAACACGUGAGUAACCUGCCCUUGACUUUGGGAUAACUUCAGGAAACUGGGGCUAAUACCGGAUAGGAGCUCCUGCUGCAUGGUGGGCGUUGGAAAGUUUCGGCUGUAGGGGUUGGACUCGCGGCUGAUCAGCUUGUUGGUGGGGUAGUUGCUUACCAAGGCUUGGACGGGUAGCCGGCCUGAGAGGGUGACCGGCCACAUUGGGACUGAGAUACGGACCAGACUCCUACGGGAGGCAGCAGUGGCGAAUAUUGCACAAUGGGCGGAAGCCUGAUGCAGCAACGCCGCGUGCGGGAUGACGGCCUUCGGGUUGUAAACCGCUUUCGCCUGUGACGAAGCGUGAGUGACGGUAAUGGGUAAAGAAGCACCGGCUAACUACGUG
rnacentral:rRNA from 1 species